UUUGAUCCUGGCUCAGAACGAACGCUGGCGGCAGGCUUAACACAUACAAGUUGAACGGUAUUUGGUGGUAGCUUGCUAUCAUUGAAGAGAGUAGCGCACUGGUGAGUAACACGUGGGAACGUACAUUGUAGUGGGGGACAACAGAGGGAAACUUCUGCUAAUACCGCAUAAUCCCUGAGGGGGAAAGAUUUAUCGCUAUAAUAUCGGCCCGCGGCAGAUUAGGUAGUUGGUGGGGUAAAGGCCUACCAAGCCUACGAUCUAUAGCUGGUCUGAGAGGACGAUCAGCCACAUUGGAACUGAGACACGGUCCAGACUCCUACGGGAGGCAGCAGUGAGGAAUAUUGGGCAAUGGAGGGAACUCUGACCCAGCCAUGCCGCGUGAGUGAGAAGGUUUUCGAAUUGUAAAGCUCUUUCGGGUGUGAAGAUGAUGACGGUAGCACCAGAAGAAGCCCCGGCAAACUUCGUGCCAGCAGCCGCGGUAAUACGAAGAGGGCGAGCGUUGUUCGGAAUUACUGGGCGUAAAGGGUGUGUAGGCGGUUUAAUAAGAUAGUGGUGAAAUGCCGGAGCUCAACUUUGGAAUUGCCAUUAUGACUGUUAGGCUAGAAUGAUGUAGAGGAUAGCGGAAUACCCAGUGUAGAGGUGAAAUUCGUAGAUAUUGGGUAGAACACCAGAGGCGAAGGCGGCUAUCUGGGCAUAAAUUGACGCUGAGGCACGAAAGCAUGGGGAUCAAACAGGAUUAGAUACCCUGGUAGUCCAUGCUGUAAACGAUGAAUGCUAGUUGUUGGCGUAAGUCAGUGACGGAGUAAACACAAUAAGCAUUCCGCCUGGGGAGUACGGUCGCAAGAUUAAAACUCAAAGGAAUUGACGGGGACCCGCACAAGCGGUGGAGCAUGUGGUUUAAUUCGAUGCAACGCGAAGAACCUUACCAACUCUUGACAUCCUUAUCGGGGAGGGGAGAGAUUCCUUCUUUCAGUUAGGCUGGAUAAGUGACAGAUGCUGCAUGGUUGUCGUCAGCUCGUGCCGUGAGGUGUCGGCUUAAGUGCCAUAACGAGCGCAACCCCUGCCGCCAGUUACUAGCAGGUAAUGCUGAGGACUCUGGCGGGACUGCCAGCGUAAGCUGCGAGGAAGGCGGGGAUGACGUCAAAUCAGCACGGCCCUUACAUCCGGGGCGACACACGUGUUACAAUGGCGUGGACAAAGGGCGGCGACUUGGCGACAAGGAGCAAAUCCCCAAACCACGUCUCAGUUCGGAUCGGAGUCUGCAACCCGACUCCGUGAAGCUGGAUUCGCUAGUAAUCGCGCAUCAGCCAUGGCGCGGUGAAUACGUUCCCGGGCCUUGCACACACCGCCCGUCAA
rnacentral:rRNA from 1 species